UAAACAGGACAAAUGCUGCUAAAAUAAUUGAAUUAUACGUGAACAUGAAUUAAAGACCUGCGUUUUAAACCGUAGGCGGAACUGCUGCAGAAUUUACCUCCGAUUUGCUGCAGAGCACUCCCGGCCUGGAUUACCAGCCACAUUGUGCAGAUUUAAAAAAAUCUAGGCACCGAUAAAUAAAAUUAGUUGCUGAAGGUCACCAAGAAAGUUGAUAGAUGAGGCAUAAAAUGGUUCCAGAUGCUACAGUUUCCAACCUAUUCAUCUGUGCUUGCUUUUCUCUAUAUCCUGGAGCAAUUUUACUAGUCCUGAAAGCCUUUCUGAUUUAUCAUUGUGCUUGUCACCAACCUUCUGCUUGCAGUGCCUUAUGUCAUAAUUCUGCUCAAAGAGAAGUAUAUGGGACUCCCUUUAGAACUGCAGCUGCUGUAAGGUGCUUCCUCAG